CAUGUCUGUAUGAAGUUGAAUAGAGUCUGUUCUGCCCGUUGAAUGAGAAUUUGAAAGGCCGCAGUAUCUUGACUGUGCAAAGGUAGCAUAAUCACUAGUUUUUUAAUUGAAGGCUUGAAUGAAUGAUCGGACAAGAACUAAGCUGUCUUUUCCAAAUGAACUGAAUUUUAUUUUUAAGUGAAAAAGCUUAAAUAAUUAAGAAAGACGAUAAGACCCUAUAAAUCUUAAUGUGAUUCAGCUUUUUAAUCUAAAAUAUUAGUUUAAACAGGGUUAAAAAGUUAGUUCAUUGUGCUGGGGCGGUGUGGAUAUAAAAAAUAAACUGUCAUUUAUGUGAAACAAAAUUUUUUGAGAGUAAAAGAUCCUAUUUAUGGAUUAAAAGAAAAAGUUACUUUAGGGAUAACAGCAUAAUUUCUUUUGAGAGUUCUAAUCGAAAAAGAAGCUUGUGACCUCGAUGUUGAAUUAAGGAAUCCUUUAGGGCGCAGCAGCUAUAAAAGGGAGUCUGUUCGACUUUUAAAUUCUUACAUGGAUCUGAGACUUUUAAAUUCUUAC
rnacentral:rRNA from 1 species